GAUUUAAAUCGCCAUGGCGGGAAAACGUUGACCACAAACUAGGGUAUUAUGCAACGUCAUUUGCAAUGAUAGUUAAUUUGCUGUUACCCAAUCGAAUCGACUAGGAAUGCUGGAAACGUCAUCCUUGCGCAGAUAAAAAAGAAUGCCAAAAGUUAGCUUGAAAUCAAAUACAGAACGUACGAUAGAUAACAUUUGACUCGUCGUUAUGAUUGUUCCUCACUAAUUCGUUCUGUUAUGAAGACGAGUGUUUUAAUUGUUGUUAUAGCUUUAAUUGGAGCAGGCCAGCGCGGAUAAUGCAAAGAUUACAUUAGACAUUGAAA